GCAUCGCCCCGCUUGUCGACCUGGAUCCUCGGCAGACGCAGCCCUCGCCGGGGACACGGACGCGCAGGCUCCGGCCCAGAGCGAGGCCCGCGCGCAGCACCGCCGCCCUUAAAGGGAUACGAGCCUGGAGAAGUUCUCUUCUAGGGUACAGAGUGUUGGAGGAGCCCCAUUUGAAGACAGACUUGUGAACUUCACUGAGCUUCCCCAAUCUUUGACUGCAAGUAUCUGUUACUCUUUGUGUAUGCGCUCUCAGGCUGGGUGGAGGCCUUCUUUACUAACAGAGAAGGUGCCACGUCUCCUAAAGAAAAUCACUCCCAGAUUUGGGAUCCCAAUCAUCAAAGGGUCUGGUAAUGGGUUAAUGUUUGGGGUGGCACAAUUGGUGACAAAGGGGUUGAAGAUCACUUGGGCACUACAUACUGUCCCCAGAGCUCUGGGAAGGUGGAAUGAAUAAAACUGCAGCUGAACAAAAACUGUGGGGAAACCAACCUACACGAGGACCAGCUAUUUCCAGUUACUUUAUUGAGUAUUCGGUCUAGCUGUACUGGACAGACAGGGUUCUCCCCUUAUCCUUUGUGGAUUCCUGUCUCUGAUACAGGACAUUGCUCUGAGAUAACAGAUGUAGACUCCUGGUUUGUCCCUGACUACUGUACACCAUCGAGUUAGGGAAUGGUUACAUGCCAACUUGACCACAGAUGGUCACCUCUUUAAACCAGGAGAUGCCAUAUGGGUAAAAGAAAGGAAUAUCCAACCCCUUUGGAUGGGUCCAUUCACUGUUGACUUAUUCACUCCUGUUGCAGUAAAGAUGGCCCCCUAAUUUCCCCACAGCAGAGUAAAACCGGCUUCUGGAGACUGGGAAUGCACUUACAGUUCAUCAAUAAUAUGACUCACUCAUACAAGCUUCGAUGCCAGCUGUAUGGACUGCAGUUCCACUUGAGUCACUCCGGAGGCUGACUAAUCUGUGUGUGACAGAAGCUUGAGAGAUUGGUCAUCCGGUGGCAUAGACUGUUCCUGUUUCCUAUAUCAGUUCUUACUGUGAUACAUUGCCAUCCCUUGUCCCUGAUCUGUUGCUGUGAUCCUUGCCCUAACCUUUGCCACAGGGCAGGCAGAGACCACUCUAGUCAACAAGAUAUGUGGCGAAUGGCUUCUGUUGGUGUUUUUUCCUCUUGUGGGCAGAGUAAUUCAUUGCUGCUGGUUGCCACCCCUCUGGGCUUUGUUUUUAGACUUAAGUCUGUCUCAUGCAUGCCGCACCACUUGACAUGACCAAGAGGACAUCAUGAAAACCUUACUUUAUCACAACCAUUUCACUGGCCAAGGAAAGGUCUUAGGGGCCUGCAGACAUGAUAAGACCACUAUUCCAUCUGCCAACUGGGAGAUCAAUAUACCUGUCUCAACCCACAGUACUCCCCCAUUGAGAAGUACAUAGAAGUCUGGAAAAGGUCCAGUGGAACCAGACUAACUGAAUCCACUUUAUUGACCCAAAACAGCCAGCAACCUUAUGUUUUGACAUGUGUGGCACCAUAAGCCACACCCAGUCAACUUAUAGUGAAUAAUGUGUGAGUCUAUAUUGGGAAUGGUAAGUAUAUUUGUGAGGAGUUGAAGUUAUAUCUGAAUAUGCCACAUGGUACUGUUGUUACUGACCCUAUUGGAGCUGUGAUUCAUGGACCACCUGGAAGGAUAAAGAUAAAAUAGCUCUCCUCCAAAGGGUGUUGCCACCACCAGCCAUAAAUUGGGAACCUAUAAUCCUGUUCAUUUUUUUACCUCAUUGUGCAACAGUUUCCUCUCAUUGAAACAUUCCAUCCUUCCAGGAAGUUCCUUAACCAGGAAGGUAAACAACUCAACAUAGCUUCAGGAAGUCCCUGAAACAGAUCAGAUUUACUAGACCCCUCCCUCCUAGAGUAAUCAAUAGAGACUGCUGAGGAUCUCAGACAAGCCAAGCUGAAAAGAAGACUGAGACCAGACCACCUGCCUGGAAGAGGGGAGAACAGCUGAGCUUGCUGGAAAGGACAUUCUCCGGCCUAUUGAGUUACCUUCUGGCUGUGCAGUGCACUACAGGUUCCAGUUUUGUGAGCUGUCACUGAUACUGGGGUGGGCUGUGGUGAUGCAUCUGUCUUUGAAUCAUUUCUGCUCCUGUAAAUAACUCCUCAACUAUACUCCUGUAAGUAACCCCAAUAAAACUCAUUGGUUCACAAAGUUGAACUUUAGUGGUAUCUGUACUUUUGGUCUGAUGUAGACUCCUUAUCUAGGUUUAAUGCUCCUGUGUAACAUCUCCUUAGAAAAGUUUUGUCACACAACAAUCCUCCAUCCAAAAGGAUGGAAGAAUGGUCACCAAAUGAAUAUUUAUCUUGGGUGUAACCAAGACCCAGUGAAGUGUAAAAGGCCCAAACCCACUUCCAUGUUUAAAGUGGAUUCACCAAUCCCUGAGCAUGAAAUCCCACCAAUCCCUGGACUUGGCUUGAAAUUUCAUCAAUCCCCACCCUAGAAAACUCUUCCCCCAAUAAAUUCUAUAUCAGCCUUCUCCUGCUCAAUUCCCUGCUGCCUCUUGCCCCAGCAGAGGCGACCACCCUUUUGUGUCUUUCCUAAUAAAUCUCUUGUGUGA